UACGUAGGGUGCAAGCGUUGUCCGGAAUUAUUGGGCGUAAAGAGCUCGUAGGCGGUGUGUCGCGUCGGCCGUGAAAACCUGCAGCUUAACUGUGGGCUUGCGGUCGAUACGGGCAUCACUGGAGUUCGGCAGGGGAGACUGGAAUUCCUGGUGUAGCGGUGAAAUGCGCAGAUAUCAGGAGGAACACCAGUGGCGAAGGCGGGUCUCUGGGCCGAUACUGACGCUGAGGAGCGAAAGCGUGGGGAGCGAACAGG
rnacentral:rRNA from 1 species